CCUACGGGAGGCAGCAGUGGGGAAUAUUGGACAAUGGGCGAAAGCCUGAUCCAGCAAUGCCGCGUGAGUGAUGAAGGCCUUCGGGUCGUAAAGCUCUUUUACCAGGGAUGAUAAUGACAGUACCUGGAGAAUAAGCUCCGGCUAACUCCGUGCCAGCAGCCGCGGUAAUACGGAGGGAGCUAGCGUUGUUCGGAAUUACUGGGCGUAAAGAGUACGUAGGCGGUUAUUCAAGUCAGAGGUGAAAGCCCGGGGCUCAACCCCGGAACUGCCUUUGAAACUAGAUAACUAGAGUCUUGGAGAGGUUAGUGGAAUUCCGAGUGUAGAGGUGAAAUUCGUAGAUAUUCGGAAGAACACCAGUGGCGAAGGCGACUAACUGGACAAGUACUGACGCUGAGGUACGAAAGCGUGGGGAGCAAACAGGAUUAGAUACCCUGGUAGUCCACGCCGUAAACGAUGAUAACUAGUUGUUCGGUCACUUGGUGACUGAGUGACGCANACUACACAUUAGUUAUCGUCCGUGGUAGGUACGGUCGCGAGAAGUUAAACGUUAAAGUAAAGUUAGUACGAGCGUAGUAAGUACGUCGACGAACGACGACGACGAGGAGGAGG
rnacentral:rRNA from 1 species